rnacentral:misc_RNA from 1 species
UACGUAGGGCGCAAGCGUUAUCCGGAAUUACUGGGCGUAAAGCGCGCGUAGGCGGUUUGAUCAGUUGGAUGUGAAAGCCCCGGGCUCAACCUGGGAACGGCAUCCGGAACUGUCAAGCUAGAGUGCAGGAGAGGAAGGUAGAAUUCCCGGUGUAGCGGUGAAAUGCGUAGAGAUCGGGAGGAAUACCAGUGGCGAAGGCGGCCUUCUGGACUGACACUGACACUGAGGUGCGAAAGCGUGGGUAGCAAACAGG